rnacentral:rRNA from 1 species
UACGGAGGGUGCAAGCGUUGUCCGGAAUCACUGGGUGUAAAGGGUGUGUAGGCGGGUCGGUAAGUCAGGGGUGAAAGGCAGCGGCUUAACCGUUGAAUUGCCUUUGAUACUGCCGGUCUUGAGUCCCGGAGAGGUCACUGGAAUUCGUGGUGUAGCGGUGAAAUGCGUAGAUAUCACGAGGAACACCGGAGGUGUAGACGGGUGACUGGACGGCGACUGACGCUGAGGCACGAAAGCGUGGGGAGCAAACAGG